rnacentral:tRNA from 1 species
UUAAUUGAAACCAAAAUAGAGGUAAAUUAUUGUUAAUAAUUAUAUUAGAUAAAUAUAUAAAUCUCAAUUAAA